GACGAACGCUGGCGGCGUGCUUAACACAUGCAAGUCGAACGAAAAUACCAAGCUUGCUUGGUUGAUUAGUGGCGAACGGGUGAGUAACACGUGAGUAACCUGCCCCUUACUUUCCUGGAUAACUGCUCGAAAGGGUAGCUAAUACGGGAUAUUCUGACCAGCCUGCAUGGGUUGGUUUGGAAAGGUUGUUUUUCUGGUAAGGGAUGGGCUCGCGGCCUAUCAGCUUGUUGGUGGGGUGAUGGCCUACCAAGGCUUUGACGGGUAGCCGGCCUGCGAGGGUGGACGGUCACACUGGGACUGAGAUACGGCCCAGACUCCUACGGGAGGCAGCAGUGGGGAAUAUUGCACAAUGGGCGCAAGCCUGAUGCAGCGACGCCGCGUGAGGGAUGAAGGCCUUCGGGUUGUAAACCUCUUUCGUCAGGGAACAAGGCACUGCUGUUUGGUGGUGUUGAGGGUACCUGGAGAAGAAGCGCCGGCUAACUACGUG
rnacentral:rRNA from 1 species